AAGGAGAAUGCAACAUGUUCCAGGGCCUCUUACCUGCGUGAUUCAUCAUCCAGGUUUUGCACAAAUUGUCUAAAUCCCUACACAUAGAACAUUUAUUGUACCGACUAUAAGCCUUUGAGGUGCAGGACUACAAUACGCUUGGAGCUUCCUGAUCAGAUCGGUCACAAUUUUGGCUUUCGACGACCCCUGCACUGAAGAUGGCAUGCAAUCACGUCCUCCUUUGAAGGUCUCUCAAACUGUGAUGCCAGGUCCAUUGGAAUCGGGGUUUCCUUCAGCUUAUCUUCAAAUACCUCAUCAAACACAAGCCUGAUCACAUCAUCCACAUAACUGUAGAAAUAUUGCAGUCAAUAAAUCUUUUGUUUUGAUCAUUUAUUUCCCUGCUUCAUACAUUAAGUUUUUAAUUAUGAAUGUAUUUGAAAUAAAACAUUACUGCUUA